rnacentral:rRNA from 1 species
CGGACGGGUGAGUAAUGUCUGGGAAACUGCCCGAUGGAGGGGGAUAACUACUGGAAACGGUAGCUAAUACCGCAUAACGUCGCAAGACCAAAGAGGGGGACCUUAGGGCCUCUUGCCAUCGGAUGUGCCCAGAUGGGAUUAGCUAGUAGGUGGGGUAAUGGCUCACCUAGGCGACGAUCCCUAGCUGGUCUGGGAGGAUGACCAGCCACACUGGAACUGAGACACGGUCCAG